GUGCGGCGGACGGAUACCGGCGCUCACACUGGGGACUGUCGCCGCAGACCCUUCCCCUGGCACUCACAAGACCAGCCUUAGCGCGAACCGCACCUUACACCUUCGCCUGCGCACAGAUACGCACAGCAGGCAGACGGUGCCCCCUCAUCCCCACACGGUCCUCCCAGAGUCUCGGGGACCACCGAGAAAGAGGACGCGAUCGCUGUUGAGACUCGGGCCUGGGAGGGACGGGGUGUUAGGGGGCAGGACAGCAGUUGCCGCCUGCGUUCGUCAUCUCAUUUGGCUACUGAGCAAGUCAGGCUUGGUCUGGGCAGGAAGUGGGCAGCGCUAGGACUGUCCGAACAGGCCUCCCCGCCAGUGUUGCCAUGGUUACCAACCUCUAGCACUGUCACCCAGCAACAUCAUCGUUACUAUGGUUACAGGCACGCGUCCCCCUCCGCCACCGCUACCAUUUGCUUGUCAUCGCCGUUACCAUUCAUUCGUUCAUUCGUUCGUGUAUUCGCUCAUCCCCUCACUCUGCUCAUCAGCUGGGGGUCCAGAGAUGAGUAAAUCGAUGCCCGCUUUGGGGAGUGCACAGCAGAAUGGGGGAGACAGGCUGUAUCUCAAAGGGAAGGAGUCCCUACCCAGGCACGUGGUAGAUAAUCCUCCAGCGAGCAUCCUCGAGCACCAUGUCUCAUUGUGUCUAAGAGCAAAAUGUUUCCGACGCAUAUACCAAGGGGAGGAAUUGCUGGAUCCCAGAGACACACAGAGAGAGAGGCAGAGACACAGGCAGAGGGAGAAGCAGGCUCCACGCAGA